rnacentral:piRNA from 2 species
UAGUGCUGCCUUUUCCUGAGCAAUUGAUGU